CCUGUUUCCUCCCUCUGAAGUGGCGACAGUAAUAGAACUGACCUCGUAGGCUCAUCGGGAGGCCCUGAAGGGAGAACCCAUGCAACUUGCCACCGCAGAGCCAGGCCCGCGGCGGUUGGCGCCUGGUUGAUAGACUGGAUGCUGCUAUGGUAAUCUGCCUCAGGAAAAUGCCGGACUGUUGUUUGCAAGCUUGUUAAGUGAGCAAAACUUGGGAAGAUUUCAAGGGAUCCAGACCUGGGUGUUCUACCUGUACCUUCAUACUGCUGCACUGGUGAGCAAGAUGAGGCUUAAAUAAAGCAUACAAUUCAAUUUGUGGUUACCUCUGAGAACCCCAAAUCUGCCAUGGAUCUCUGCACCACACAACACCUGUGACACCUGUGCCAAGUCAUGGAAUAAGGCCAUACCCUGUGGAUAGGGUAUAAAGGUUUCCCUCUAUAUGGUAGAUAUUAUCAGUCAUAGAAAAAGAGAAUCCUCACACAGAAAAAUUUGGAACAUGGAACAGAUGGAAGGUGGCACUUCUGGAUAUGCCUUUUUACAUCUGAACUUGGAAGAGUUAAGAAUUGUUGAAGGCCCUUCUCACUGAUCAGGGGAAAUAGCUUCUGUCACAGAGCUGCCUACUCCAGGAGAACCAAAAAUGAAAGCAAACACUCAUAUUUUGUAAGUCUGUUCCCUGAACUUCUGUCAAUCAAGUUUAAUCUAAAUCAAGGAUUCAAACUGAGAAGCAUUUAAGGACCAAGAAAAAGUUAAUUAGCCCAGUAUAAGUCAAUAAGAAAUGACUGGAAGGUAUCCAGAAAUAAAGGCAUUCAGAAAUGGAGGCACACAUAGAUGAAGGCAAAGGACAUUCCUAUGAAGGCAGGUCUGUAGGCAGCUGGUUAUUUGUUUUUCUCUUGGCCUCUCUUGGCAUUCUACCUUCAUCUGGAAAAAAAUUAAAAAGGAGGAUACUUUACAGGCCCUGCCUCAAGUAUCUGACUUCCCUGGAAAUUUGAUUCUCACAUUCAAAAUAUAUGGGGAGUUUGGUUCAGUUAAAUUUUAUCACACCAGAAUUGUUGAAAAGCAAUAAAUUAUUACUGUAUGAUUGGUGCCUGUUUGUUAUCUUAGGUAUCGUUAUUUCUGUUUUUAACUCGUUUGGAAAACCAUAGACUAUAAACUUUUCUCAACCUUCGAUGCAGAGCUCCAACCAAACUAGCAAAGGACAUUUCCUCAAAGAAAGAGUAUUUUUUUUUCUGUAACAAUUUAAAUUUCUGUCUUUCAUUCUUCAAAAUGUAUCACUAUAAAUUUCCUACAAAAAGAGCUGUUUCUUCUCUUGGUAUCAUACAGAUUGAUUUGUGUAGAUGUAUAUGUAUGGCUAUUAAAUAUUUGUUGGUAUAAAAUGGUGAGUGUCAGUAUAAUAAUGAUGAUAACAAAUAGCAGCUAACAUUUA